rnacentral:rRNA from 1 species
UUCCGGUUGAUCCUGCCGGCGGCCACCGCUAUAGGAAUUCGAUUAAGACAUGCGAGUCGAGAGUCUUCGGGACUCGGCGGACUGCUCAGUAACACGUGGAGAACGUGCCCUUAAGUGGAGGAUAAUCUCGGGAAAUUGAGGAUAAUACUCCAUAGAUCAUGGGAUCUGGAAUGACCCAUGGUUGAAAGUUCCGGCGCUUAAGGAUCGCUCUGCGGCUUAUCAGGUUGUAGUGGGUGUAACGUACCCCCUAGCCAGUGACGAGUAUGGGCCUUGAGAGAGGGAGCCCAGAGUUGGAUUCUGAGACACGAAUCCAGGCCCUACGGGGCGCAGCAGUCGCGAAAACUUCACACUGGGGGCAACCCCGAUGAGGGAAUUCCUAGUGCUAGGACAUUUGUUCUAGCUUUGCUCUAGCGUAGAUAACUAGAGGAAUAAGGGCUGGGUAAGACGGGUGCCAGCCGCCGCGGUAAUACCCGCAGCCCGAGUGGUGGUCGAUUUUAUUGAGUCUAAAACGUUCGUAGCCGGUCUGAUAGAUCCUUGGGUAAAUCGGGGGGCUUAACCUUCCGAAUUCCGAGGAGACCGUCAGGCUUGGGAUCGGGAGAGGUAAGAGGUACUUCAGGGGUAGGGGUAAAAUCCUGUAAUCCUAGAAGGACCACCGGUGGCGAAGGCGUCUAGCUAGAACGGAUCCGACGGUGAGGGACGAAGCCCUGGGUCGCAAACGGGAUUAGAUACCCCGGUAGUCCAGGGUGUAAACGCUGCCGACUUGGUGUUGGAGGCCCUUCGGGGGCAUUCAGUGCCGGAGAGAAGUUGUUAAGUCUGCUACUUGGGGAGUACGUCCGCAAGGAUGAAACUUAAAGGAAUUGGCGGG